UACGGAGGAGGCAAGCGUUAUCCGGAAUUAUUGGGCGUAAAGCGUCCGUAGGUGGCUAGUCAAGUCUGCGGUCAAAGACUGGGGCUUAACCCUGGAAAGGCUGUGGAAACUGACGAGCUAGAGUGCAGUAGGGGUAGAGGGAAUUCCCGGUGUAGCGGUGAAAUGCGUAGAGCUCGGGAAGAACAUCGGUGGCGAAAGCGCUCUACUGGACUGCAACUGACACUCAGGGACGAAAGCUAGGGGAGCGAAUGGG
rnacentral:rRNA from 1 species